rnacentral:rRNA from 1 species
CAGAGGAGCCAAGCGUUGUCCGGAUUGACUGGGCGUAAAGCGCACGCAGGCGGCACCGCGCGUGGGGUGUGAAAUCUGGCCGCUUAACGGCCAGGCGCCAUCCCAUACGGCGGAGCUGGAGUGAUGCAGAGGUCGGUGGAAUUGCCGGUGUAGUGGUGAAAUGCGUAGAGAUCGGCAGGAACACCCAGGGGGAAACCAGCCGACUGGGCAUCUACUGACGCUGAGGUGCGAGAGCGUGGGGAGCGAACCGGAUUAGAUACCCGGGUAGUCCACGCCGUAAACGAUGGCCACUCGGCCUUUGGGGGCGGAAUCUCCGUCCCUGGGGGCCUUAGCUAACGCGGGAAGUGGCCCGCCUGGGAACUACGAGCGCAAGCUUA